rnacentral:rRNA from 1 species
GUCCACGCCGUAAACGAUGCAUGCUAGGAAUUCGGAGAAUCGACCCUCUGAGUUUCGAAGCUAACGCGUUAAGCAUGCCGCCUGGGUAGUACGGCCGCAAGGCUAAAACUCAAAGGAAUUGACGGGGACCCGCACAAGCGGUGGAACAUGUGGUUUAAUUCGUCAACAAGCGAAGAACCUUACCAGGGUUUGACAUCUAGGGAAUCCGCUAGAAACAGUGGAGUGCCGCAAGGAGCCCUAAGACAGGUGUUGCACGGUCGUCGU